rnacentral:rRNA from 1 species
GACGAACGCUGGCGGCGUGCUUAACACAUGCAAGUCGAACGGAAAGGCGCGGCGCUUGCGGGGUGCUCGAGAGGCGAACGGGGGAGAAACACGUGAGUAACAUGCCCUUGACUGAGAGAUAACAUCAGGAAACAGGGGCUAAUACCGGAUAGGAGCUCUCGCUGCAUGGGGGUGGUUGGAAAGUUACGGCGGUGGUGGAUGGACUGGCGGCUUAUGAGCUGGUUGGUGGAGUAGUGGCUUCCCAAGGCUUUGACGGGUAGCCGGCCUCGGAGGGUGACCGGCCUCCUUGCUCCUGCGGUACGGCCCAGACUCCUACGUGCCGCAGCAGUGGGGAAUAUUGCGCAAUGGGCGGACGUCUGUUACGGCAACCCCGCGUUCGUGAAGCCGUCCUUCGGGUUAUGAACCGCUUUCUCAUGUGCCGAAGCCUGAGUGACGGUACUGGGUCAAAAAGCACCGGCUAACUACGUG